AGCUCCAAGUGGGCCAUUUU
rnacentral:snRNA from 1 species